UAGAGGGAAGUAUAAUGGAAGUACAGAGAGUUUUGAUCUCUCAAGAGGGGGUUCAAUUCCCACCCUUCUAA
rnacentral:tRNA from 1 species